rnacentral:pre_miRNA from 1 species
UGUGCAUUGGUGGGGUCCCUCGGCCUGGCCUGUGCCUCUCACAAUCUGGGACCCCUCAGGGGAUGUUGGAGAGCCAGUUUCAGCCCAAUCCCCACAGGCCAGGCUGAGGGACCCCACCAGUGCACG